GUUCUCAUCAGAUAUCUUUAAUUGUUUUAGGAUGAAUUAAGAUCAUGUUAAAUUAUUCAUCAGACUGCACAUGACAACCCCUUUUUGCAGGAAAAAACUGCUGCGAGAGGAAAACAAACUUCUGGAGGACAACAUAGCUAGGAUCAAGAAAAUGGAACAGUGAAUGAGAUGUCACCACCCCACAUCAUUUAUGGACAACAGAGAGUGACCCUCAAUUUUCUCUAGUGAUUAUGGUUUGUAUCUGUCAAAUAGCCUUGCAGAGGCACCAGGAGAAUAACCUGCAAAGGUUAUGUGGUUCCUGUGUUUAGUAUCAUGUUGUACAUGAAUUUACCAAAGUCAAGGUGUCUUCAGAAAUAAUUAACAAUAUUGUGCAGUUUCAGUAAAAUUUAUUGUUCAUCUGUGUGACCAUGUAAUUUAAAAGGUGAGAUGAGCUUUGGCCCCUCGGGUUAGUGUUUUAUAUAUUCAGUGUUUUCGUUGC